AUGUGAGCUGCAGGUGUCCUAUCAGAGAGCUCAAUCUGCCUGAGUUGCUCUUGGGGCAGCAUAUAAACCUUAGGAGGAACCAGUCAAAUGAAACAGCACUUUCUGGAACUGUCAAGUUCUUUUUUGGCAACUUGGUGACUGGUUUGAUCUACUUCUCAGAUGUAGAGGCAAGUGGACUGCUGUUUUGAAGUGCUAAAACUAAAAACAUUAAGUUUGUCAAAGGUGGCA